UACGAGGGGGGCGAGCGUUGUUCGGAAUUAUUGGGCGUAAAGGGUGCGUAGGCGGUUUGGUAAGUCUGAUGUGAAAUCUCUGGGCUCAACUCAGAGUCUGCAUCGGAAACUGCCGGGCUUGAGUAUGGGAGAGGUGAGUGGAAUUCCUGGUGUAGCGGUGAAAUGCGUAGAUAUCGGGAGGAACACCGGUGGCGAAGGCGGCCAUCUGGACGGAUACUGACGCUGAGACGCGAAAGCGUGGGGAGCAAACAGG
rnacentral:rRNA from 1 species